GGGGAAUUUUGGACAAUGGGCGCAAGCCUGAUCCAGCAAUGCCGCGUGCAGGAAGAAGGCCUUCGGGUUGUAAACUGCUUUUGUACGGAGCGAAAAGGCUUUCUCUAAUACAGGAGGCUGAUGACGGUACCGUAAGAAUAAGCACCGGCUAACUACGUGCCAGCAGCCGCGGUAAUACGUAGGGUGCGAGCGUUAAUCGGAAUUACUGGGCGUAAAGCGUGCGCAGGCGGUUUUGUAAGACAGGCGUGAAAUCCCCGGGCUCAACCUGGGAAUGGCGCGUGUGACUGCAAAGCUGGAGUGCGGCAGAGGGGGAUGGAAUUCCGCGUGUAGCAGUGAAAUGCGUAGAUAUGCGGAGGAACACCGAUGGCGAAGGCAAUCCCCUGGGCCUGCACUGACGCUCAUGCACGAAAGCGUGGGGAGCAAAC
rnacentral:rRNA from 1 species